rnacentral:rRNA from 1 species
UUCAAUUGGAGAGUUUGAUCCUGGCUCAGAACGAACGCUGGCGGCGUGCCUAACACAUGCAAGUCGAGCGCGAAUAGGGGCAACCCUUAGUAGAGCGGCGCACGGGUGCGUAACACGUGGAUAAUCUGCCUGAGUGCUCGGGAUAAC